AGCGGGAUAAUUCAAAGGUAGAAAUCUUGCCUCAUACGCGAGAAGUUAUAGGUUCGAGUCCUAUUCCCGCAA
rnacentral:tRNA from 1 species